UCUGCCAGUCACAAAUUGAUUCAGCUCUCAGUUUCUUUUUUUUCAAGAGGAUAGUAAAUUGUUUAUUGAUUACACAUGAUAAUGGAUGAUACACAAGCUUCAUAUCCAUCUAUAAUUUUAUCUGGU